rnacentral:rRNA from 1 species
CAUUGCUAUCGGAGUCCGAUUCAGCCAUGCUAGUCGUAGCGGGUUCAGACCCGCGGCGAACAGCUCAGUAACACGUGGCCAAACCACCCUGUGGAGACGGAUACGCUCGGGAAACUGAGGCUAACCCGUCACACGGCUCCCACGCUGGAACGCCGGGAGCCAGAAACGCUCCGGCGCCACGGGACGUGGCUGCGGUCGAUUAGGUAGACGGUGGGGUAACGGCCCACCGUGCCGAUAAUCGGUACGGGUUGUGAGAGCAAGAGCCCGGAGACGGAAUCUGAGACAAGAUUCCGGGCCCUACGGGGCGCAGCAGGCGCGAAACCUUUACACUGCACGCCAGUGCGAUAGGGGGACUCCGAGUGCGAGGGCAUACAGUCCUCGCUUUUCUGGACCGUAAGGUGGUCCAGGAACAAGGGCUGGGCAAGACCGGUGCCAGCCGCCGCGGU